rfam:Leishmania mexicana MHOM/GT/2001/T1103 complete genome, chromosome 32
GCCGGUACGGCAGCGCGCACACGCACACAGUGCGCCGUUAUCUUCUCCGGCUUGCGUGCAUGCUGCCUUCCGCAAAGCUGCAGCGCGGCGCUCUGGAGGCCUUGCCCCGCGCACUGCUCUUUACAUGGCCCGACGUGAGGGCACUUCGCGGGCAGUGCUGCGGCCUCGUGUGGGAUCGCGUCAGGACUGAAGGAGAGCGAAUCCCGGGGCUCGGUGUGGAGAAGGAGGUGCCAAGUAGCCCCGUUGCGGAGAGUGUGUCAGCCCCAUCGCAGUGCACCUCACUGCCCUCCCGCUUCCCCGGCCACUUGGCACUCACUACCCCCUCCCCUUCCCUUCUCCCCCGUACCCCCCCCCUCUCUUUCUCGCAUCCUCUGCCCUCUCACCGCCGCGCCGGGCGCACCGGCGCUCUUUUCCGUUUUGAUUUCGCGUGUCCCAACACACAGUUGGAUCGUUUUUCUUCUCUCCCUAACGA